CUACGGGGUGCAGCAGUGGGGAAUUUUGGACAAUGGGCGCAAGCCUGAUCCAGCCAUUCCGCGUGAGUGAAGAAGGCCUUCGGGUUGUAAAGCUCUUUCGCAAGGGAAGAAAACUUAUCCUCUAACAUAGGGUGAGGUUGACGGUACCUUGAUAAGAAGCACCGGCUAACUCCGUGCCAGCAGCCGCGGUAAUACGGAGGGUGCAAGCGUUGUUCGGAUUUACUGGGCGUAAAGGGCACGUAGGCGGCACAGCAAGUUAAGGGUGAAAUCCCGGGGCUCAACUCCGGAACUGCUCUUAAACUGCUGAGCUAGAGAUAGUCAGAGGCGGGUGGAAUUCCAGGUGUAGAGGUGAAAUUCGUAGAUAUCUGGAGGAACACCGGUGGCGAAGGCGGCCCGCUGGGGCUAUUCUGACGCUAAGGUGCGAAAGCGUGGGGAGCAAACGGGAUUAGAUACCCGCGUAGUC
rnacentral:rRNA from 1 species